CUAAUAUAGUUAACUCAGUUUUACCCAAUACUGUAUAUAUAGUAUAUAUAUACUGGCGAGGGGGCCAGUGGACUGGCCGGUCAGAGACAGGAGGCGGGCCGGAUGCGGCUCGCGCGCCGCCCCAUGCCCAGGUCUGGUAUACAGUACACAUAGUACAAUACGCACAGAACACAGUACAUACAGUAUAUACUCAUUCCUCAGUCCACACAGCAGACAAGCAGGAAGACACAUGUACAGCAGACGUAGUUCCCAGCACCCCAUCCUACAAACGGCCCAAGUCGCAUUGAAACGACGAUUGACCCCCCCAUCACACUCACAAGUCCGCUGAUCAACAGAGGUCAAAGUGAACUGAAACCACAGUCAAAUGAAGCCACCGACGCGGGUCGAAGGCACACCACAAUCCAAACAGGAAGUAGGCAACAGAAAAGGUAAAAGUACAAAAAAGUACAGAGCCCUCUAGGCACUUAGACAAAGGGACAUCCUUCUAAAUUUCUUAUUUUCCGCUUGAAAUACACUGUACUAAUUUUGUGGUCAGCUUUCAUAAAUGUAAAAAUUUACAUCGUUUCACUCACUUCCUGCGCCUUUUUUGAAUUUUCCUGGUGAGUCAUUUUUCGACGAAUAUUGUGUAUGUGCAUGAGCAACAGAGGAAUAGUCAGAUCGAAAUACUAAAAAAGAGGGAGAUAUAUUAGUUUAGAAAGAGACUUUUCUUGGCUUUCCAUCCUUUAAUGUACUACAUGGAUAAUGCCAACGAGAACGCACGUUUAGAUUCCAAAGGCACGAGCAGAAAAGAGUGCAUUACCUCUUAAACCAUCGUGUGAUUAUGUGGGUGGCAUAAGUUUUAGUCCCACCAACAAUACUCGUGUAUUAAGGAAAUUAUGCGGGUGGAAUAAGACGUAGUCCCAAUUGCGGAACAAUAAGCGUGACUGUGUGUUUGUCCAGACAGUAUCGCGUUGGGCCACGUCAGCACACCCUGCUAGACCUCAGAGAAAGCAACCCAGGCUCCGUACUGCGCCCCUAAUAACCGAGGCCCGUGUAGCUACUUUCUCGUUUUGCAUCGCGGCCUCCAUGAACCAGCUCCACCCUCCACCCGAACCACGACACUCGAACCAUCCAUCCGUCAGCUGAGGUAACCAGCAGCGCAACGAGUUGCGCUCGUCAGCAAACACAAUGAGCAUUGCCCGCCCCUAAGCCUGGCGCCGGCCGCGCGCAGAACGCCGCAAGCCGCACGCGCGCCAGUCGGCCAGUGGACGUCCGCUAAUAUUAUCAAAGCUAUCAAUAGUUUAGCAGUCGGCAUCUAUCUGUCACAAAAGUUGGAAGGAGUUGACUCCUCGGCACAGUACUCAGCUUCCACGACCCUGUCACUUGCUCGAAGACAACGCAAAGACGCGGCUCGAGACAAGACAACAUUCAGAAAAAUGAAGAUUACUGGAAAGAGCUGGGGCUUUAUACCGGACCAAAAGAACGCCAAAAGCGGAAGUUCAUUGUUUUUUAAAAUAUGUAUUAUUACAUAUAUAACCCAAAUAUGCCAGGCAGAUAAACCAACGAUUAUACUAGGUAGGAAUACAUCGCCAUCUUGCAACAUUUCGCAGAUUGAAAUUCAAUAUUUCGCGGGUACAAUCAGUGAAGGACAAAUGUUUGACAGCGCGUGCUGCAACGCUCCAACAAUGAUGAAGUGCAAUAAAAGUAACUUCAACAGUUACAUACCACCGGUCCUGUCGUGCGACUGCCAGCAGAAGAAGACAGAUGGAGAGGAAAGUACCAAGACGUCGACCGCCAUGAUGAUCACAUCAUCCCAGACAAGGAAUGACUCUAUUGACACGACAGCAGUACUCAUUAUUGCAGUAUUUAUUGGUUUAUUUGUCUGAUUACAACUAGGCUGCAUCCUUUUUUAUACAACUGUUUUACAAAGACAGUUAACGUGAACAACAGCCAAUCUCCUGACUAUGGCUCUCUUUCAUUUUAUUUUCAAUGCACCUUGGAGUUUCAGUUAGAUAAUCAAACUAAUGUAUGGGGAUCUUAGAUGUUUCCUUUUAUAUACUAUCUCAGCUACUAGAUGCAUAAAAUUCUGGUUAAGGUUAUUCCAGAGGUCACGAAACAUAGGUGAUCAAAGUACUUAGAGUUGUGUGUUCCAGGGGUUUGAGGUCUGUCUGGAUGCUCCAACAGGUGGGGAGGGAGAAAGUGUUUUUAAAGACGUUUAGAGAAAGAUUGAGGGAUGUUUUUUGUCAGGAAUGGUAUACAAUUCUAGAGAAUAGUUUCCAUUUCAAUGCACACAACAGUUCCAAAUAUGCUGCAUUGUGAAUUAUAUGUGGAUAGUAUAAGCAAGGAUUGUGUGAGAAAGGCCUGUGCUCUGUUUAGAAUUGGUGUUUCGGAAAUCAACUGUCACAGAAAUCGAUUUGCAUAAUGAUGUAGCCCGCCAUUGUCCUUUUGUACAGAUGUCUUGGAGGAUGAAGCUCGUGUCUUAUUUUUCUGACCUAUGAAUGAUGACUGAAGCUAAAUAUGGUAGAGAACUCAAUAACGGUCAACAUGACCUGUAAAUAUUGUUUUGCACAAAUGAAAAGAAAAUUAUGCAAUUAAGUCUUUUUAUAUUUUGGAUUUGGAAAAAAGAGGUUGGUAUUAAUUGGUUAGUGUCACUUGCUGGCUAUGGUGUUGAAGGACUUUUAGGAUGUGUGUGUGUGGGAGAGGGAGGGGCGGGAUGCGUGCAAGUCAAAUUAGAGUUAAUGAAUUAUAUUUGUGUAGUACCUCCAAUGCGUACAAAUGUUGUGUGUGUGUGUUUUAGAAGUCAGUUUUCAUAUUUGUGUAUUGACUUACAGCUACAGAAAAAAAUCUGUCAUGCGUUGUAAAACGAUCUUGAUACCUUUUUUUCCAUAUUCUUGUUGGAGACAGGCUUUUGGAGCAUAAAGUUUUACUGCAUUUCUCUUUCUCUCUCAGUUUGGUGCUGUUUUGAAUUGUUGACUUCAUUGGGCAGUAAGCUUGAGCUCUGUGUGUGUGCUAAUGUGUGAAUGGCGGUUUUAUGGGGAUGGUGUAAGAGUUGGGGUUGGGGUUGGGUUGGGAUGUUUGUGGGACGAAUGAGGCGGGGAGAAGGAUGGGCCUAACUCGCCCGAGGGGAAAGGCGACACUUCAUCUGGCUCGCACACCCGACUUUCGCCCUCUCACACCGCCACCCGCCUAUUCGCACGUCCGCACGCGAAUACACUAAUAAUCACACUCACCCGCAUGCGCAAACAUAACCGACAACAUGGUCGCACAGCAAACAAAUUUAAUUAUAAUCACAAGAAAAUCAGCCAGGUUGAAUACAUGAAACGCACUAGGAAUCUCUAAAUAAACAAUCUGACCUCAGGUCAGUAAAAGUAGACAAGUAAAUAAAAACACACUUUCCUCCCAGCGCUUUGUGGAUCCGAGUCUGCGUCCGACGAACGCUUCACGUGAUGUUUCCCGGACGCGAACACCUCCCAAGUCAAGAAACAGCUGGGAACAAUGCAGUGUCCUCGCGACAGGCUGCUCCACAACCAGUGGUCUGAGAAUUGACUUGGCACAUUACUGCCAUUACUGGCGGAUAUCACAGGUCGCACACCGCUGUCCCAGGCAGCGAACAAUGACGACGACGUUGGAGAUGGAGUCUUCCGACGCACUGUCACUAUAGCCCACUGGCACUGCUGCUCCUCCUGUUGCCCCAGGAAACGGACAACAGCUGCGGUGGAGCAUCAGACAGCCGUCCCCCGUCCCUCAACACUUCUGUGGCCAGUGCGCACCAGGGAGCGUGGAUGAAGCGGCAACGCUGGCGCAGCAAGUCUGAGGCUCGGCGCCAGGUUUUCCUUUCCUUCGUUUUCUCCCCUUCCUCUAUCCUUACCUGUAUCUUUCCUCCUCCUUACUGUCGUUCUCUUCCCACAACAAAACCACAAAAAAGUGUUCUUUCUAUUUUUCCCUCCUUUUCAAAUUAUUUUAACCGCAUUUCAACAGACUCCCGGUAGCCCUAAUUGAAACUGUGUGUGGAGGGGAGGCAGUCUGUGUGAGGGUGGUGUCUGUGUGUGUGGGGAUGUCUGUGUGUGGGGAUGUCUGUGUGUGGGGGGUGUCUGUGUGCAGACACGUGUGGUGCACACAACGUACAGAUUUCCGCACGGGCCACGUGAAAUCGAUAAGCAGCCUCGGUUAGCUGACACCGCAGGCACGACAGGUGAGAGGACAUCGUCGACAUCACACUCAGGUAAGAAAGUUAUGUUUGAGCCUCUGUUUUGCUUUGUUUUGCUUUGGCGGUUCCCACGUCUCCUCCCACCUUUACUUCUCUAUCCAUCUAUAAUCUACCUUAGAGUUCAUAUUCAUGUAUGGUCAGGAACACUGCUAUCAUGCAUUAUUACGAACAACGGGAGACUAGUGAUGCGCAAGGACAGUUGGUGAAAAUUGAUGUUGUAAGUGUGAGAAUGAAAGAUUGCGAAGAACCAAGCAGAGAAAGUGUAUAAUUUCUAUAAACAGGUUAAUAAAUAACACCCUUUUUCUUCACGAUGAAAAGAUGAGGAGAGAGUGAGAGAAGUUAGAGAAAGGAAAACAUACACACAGACAUACAACCACACAUAGACACACAUAUGCACAUUCACAUCCCACCCCCUACAUAGUAUGUUACUGGUCAUUCAUCAACACAAGGUACUCAAAAUAAACUUGCAUACAGGUGCAUGGCGCUUUUCCAGGCAUCACGCUUUCCGGUAACCGAAGGAAGGUGACAGCGGGGAGGGGCAAGUGGAUGAGCUGGGAGACAUUGAGUCAUGUGAGCAGUACGACGAUUUCCACAUCCUCAAUGGCUUGCAGACAGCGGGAAUCCUCUGAGUGACCUCAUGAUCAGAUGACUACCCGGGCUGCUCAGUAGUGUAGUGGCCGAAACACCCACUUGCAACAUUGCAGUGAAAGACCCUGGGUCUCCUCUCAAGGCACCCACUGUAUGCAACAAAUGUUCGCAGGACUGGCCGUUUGAGGGGUUUCUCCAGAUACUCCAAUUCCUAUCCCCCCUACAGAGUGUUAAAUCGACGCAAGGUGGAAGCACAUUCCCACUAAAUCAACCAGCCAGCCAGCCAGGCAGGCAACCAAUCAACGAACUAGCGACCCAGCUAUUCAAUCAGCCAUCAUACAGACAACAAUCUUGUACUUUCACCAGCACGUCUUGUGAUAGAACAAAUACUUAUUUGUUAGUAGAACCACUGCGAUGUCUGGUAUUGUCCUUAAAGCUUUACUGCACAUAAUCAUUAUUUCCAGCGUUGACAUGUUUAUCAUAAAACCUUUAUAUUUACCAAAAUCGCUUUUGUCAAACUCAUGUAACAAAGAGUUUCAAGGCCGUGCUUGUGGAGACCUACUAGCCAACGAAGCAGAAUGGCAGCACUGGGAUGAUGUGUGUUGUAAGACAAUCAACAAAACCUUGCAGCUCACCUGCCACGAGGAACAAACUUUUGUCAAGAGCUUCUACUAUGACUGUGUGUCCACACAACUGACAACACUACCAGCUGCAACAGUCACGACACACAAGCCCGACACAUCUUCCCCAUACAUGCAUGUUCUUUUCAAUGGCGCAAUAGUCUUUGGAAUAUUAAUAAGCAUGGACAACUUUUUGUUGUUAUGUUGUUAUGUUAUGCAGCCCAUCUAAGACGAUAGAGGCAUAGAUGUUAAUGAUGUAUCAACGAUAAAAGCGCUGAUUUUUUGUACAUUAUUUGUCACAAUAUUUCCACUUGCAUGUGUGCGAUACAGCAUACAUCAGUUGGUUGUUCAGUGUGACUGAGACUGACUGAUGUGUAGACAAGCCCAAAGCCCUCCCCACUCACUGCAAUUAAAGAUUCAUUAACAUGACUUCUUUGUAAUUUGUGCUUUGGGUACAGUGGUCAAUA